rnacentral:misc_RNA from 1 species
AAAUUUUUAUAUAUUAUAAAUAGACAUAAAUUUCAUGGGCGAUAGGUCAAAUUUACCAGCUGCAUUGGACAUUUGAUAUAAGCUGCAGACCAUGUAGAACAAUAUGCAUACAGCAUUAUCUAAUGGAUUUUCAGCUCUAAUACUCUAUCCAAGAGAUAUUGGAUCUAAUGAAACACCAGUAAUGAUAAUAUACAUCUGCAGCAGAACCGAUUGAAGCUCUCCAUCUAGCAUGCAAAAAGUUCGACGCAAUCUUCCACUCCAAAUUUCAAUAAUUAUCAGAUGGUGACCUAUAAGUACGAGUGACACGAAUCUGAGGCAAACACAACAAACUUAGCGGCAAUCAAAGAAACAGAUUUGAACAAUAAUAUUCACUGUGAAACCAAGUGACACUCAGGUUGUUCCAUACACAAUUGCAUUUAUAAUUUGUCUUGCCUUAUGUUCAUUGGACCUGUUCAAGAAUUCUACUGCUUGGUAAAAGUUUUCUCAUUUUAAUUUCUCUUCUAUUAAAAAGAUGUAAAGCUUGAAACUAAAUUAUGUCAUUUUAAAAUACAAUUAUCCGUUCAUGGGAAGGUUAGAGUUUCGAAGAUGGGUAUUCAUUAGCAAACGUUUGGUAUAUAAAGAUAAUUAUACUUAUUUUUCACAUACAAAAAUAUGAAAUUCAGACUCACGUGACAAACCUGAAAAAAUCACUAAUGAAACACUGCAUCUAGAGGCCUAUUUAUUCCAAAAUUUAGACAAAAAUGGAAUUGUGAUGCUGGGAUCUGGGGUAGAGAUGGGUGAUAUUUUAGUAAUUUAAUAGGUAAAUCAAUGUUUCAACAAAUACUUGUUUGUUAAAUUGACAUAAUUUAGAUUCAAGCUUUACAUCUUUUUCAUAGAGGAGAAAUUAAAAUAAGAGAACUUAUAUCUAGCAGUAAAAUUCUUGAACAGGUCCAGUGCACUUAUGGUAAAAAAACUAGUAUUAUCAUCGUACACUGCAAAAUAAAGCACGGUGACAACAACAAAUGCUUAGAAGUAAACAGCCAUGACAAUAUAUUACCUCAGCAAAUGCAUAAAUUGCACGCAAGAUUCUAGCAUAAUCAGUUCCUAGCAUUUGUAUAACAACAUCUGCCAGAAAUGUUCCCCACAUCAAUGGACCAAGUAAUGACAUCAUGCUCCUAAAACCAAGAUAUCUUGACGCGGCUCCAGCAAAACCCUGCUUUGCUGCAAGCAAGGCCGCUCUGGACUCCAAGUUAACCGCAGCUAAUUGUCCACCCUUCUUGAUGACUUCCUUUUUGACUUGAUAGUUGGCAGCUUCUAGAAACAACUUCCCAGAUAAUUUCCUUGAAAACUAUAGCAAAAUCAAACUAGCUUAGGGGCACAAGAAAAGAAUCAAAUCAAAUAAACAAACAAUAAGAAGUCCAUCUCUUACUAAUUGAUAAAAUCUUGACAAUGUAAACAUUCCACCACUCUACAAAGAGAAUGGAAAAGAAGUUAAAAGGGGGGAAUCCAUACCGUUUUUAAGUAUUAAAAAAAUCUAUAAAUUAAGUUAUUACGUAUGAAUACCUUCAAAAUCAUUGAUUGGAGCUCUGCUAGCCCAAGUUUUCGAGCAGCAAGGGCUGGUCCCUUCCACUGCCUAGGUCCAAGUUCAAGACUGCCUUGAUCAUUGGUAACCGUAGAUGAUUCCCAUAAGCAUAGAAAAGUAUCUGAUUCUUCACUUGAAUAAUCUUGAACUAGAUGAAGGAAAAUUUCUGCUUCUAGGUCUUCAGUUGACAAUUUUCUAGAACAAGGAAUAUUUAACUUUUUCCGAACAGCAAGCAAUACAUUUCUAUAUGAAGGCCUCCAACCCCUCAUAGUUGACCUGGCAUCAGCAGCAAGGAAUAGGAAUCGGGACUCCAGAGCUUCUAUGAAAGCUUCCCGCUCUGCCAGGUCUUCCUCGAUUAUGGCAUAAUCAAUGUCCACUCUCCUCCCCGUAAUGGAUUUUAGCAAAGGACUGAAGUAACUGGGACCAAAUAGAAUUCUCUCGAGCUCAUACAAUUCCGAAUCAGUAGCAAGUUCAAGCACCGGCCGGAGAUCAGGAUCAAAUGCACCUUGGCCUUUUUUUGAUAUUCCUCCGAGAGAACAACGGGCAAGCCCUAGAAUCCUCCUAUUCCCAAUGGAGUUGAGAAUUGGGAGAGCAUGUCUGGUACCGGCAGUGGGUGUGGAAGUGAUUGUGAAAGCCAAGGAGACGUGAAGAGCCAAAGCAGAAGAGGUACUGAUAGCCAUUUCUGCCAAUCUCCAAACAAUUCAACCACUCAUUCUUAAAACCAAGUACAAUCAGUCUGAGUUUUCACCCAUUAUCUGUUUGUUGAUAGGUUAGACUGAGUUUUUUGUUCAGCAGUCGCGUCCAG